ensembl:lncRNA
AUGCAGCUGUUCCCAAAAAAAGCCCGGAAAAGAGGAGUCUCCAGACGGAAAUGGGAAUUCUCGGCAGUAGAAAGGCUGGAAUUGCGACUCUUCCCCGGUUUUCGGGGGUUUUUUUGGCUCUUGGCUGCUGGUUUCUGUUGGGAGGGAAGCGCACGGGGGAAAGAGGGAAUGGGAUGCAAAGAGACAGCAAAAUCUUCAGCUCAGGAAUAUUCCCAGGGAAUCAGGAAUAUUCCCAGAAAUACUCCCAGGAAUCAGAAACAUACCCAGAAAAUCAGGAAUAUUCCCAGAAAUCAGAAACAUUCCCAGGAAUCAGAAAUAUUCCCAGAAAAUCAGGAAGUCCCAGAAAUCAGAAACAUUCCCAGAAAUCAGAAAUAUUCCCAGAAACAUUCCCAGGAAUCAGAAACAUUCCCAGAAAUCAGAAAUAUUCACAGAAACAUUCCCAGAAAAUCAGGAACAUUCCCAGGAAUCAGAAACAUUCCCAGAAACAUUCCCAGGAAUCAGAAAUAUUCUCAGAAAUAUUCCCAGAGAAUCAGGAAUAUUCCCAGAGAAUCAGAAAUAGUCCCAGAAAUCAGAAAUAUUCCCAGAAACAUUCCCAGGAAUCAGAAACAUUCCCAGAAAAUCAGAAAUAUUCCCAGAAAUAUUCCCAGAAAAUCAGGAAUAUUCCCAGAGAAUCAGGAACAUUCCCAGGAAUCAGAAACAUUCCCAGAAACAUUCCCAGGAAUCAGAAAUAUUCCCAGAGAAUCAGAAAUAGUCCCAGAAACAUUCCCAGAAAUCAGAAACAUUCCCAGAAAAUCAGAAAUAUUCCCAGAAACAUUCCCAGAAAAUCAGAAACAUUCGCAGAAAUCAGAAAUAUUCCCAGAAACAUUCCCAGGAAUCAGGAACAUCCCCAGAAAAUCAGGAAUAUUCCCAGAGAAUCAGAAAUAUUCCCAGAAACAUUCCCAGAAAAUCAGAAACAUUCCCAGAAAUCAGAAAUAUUCCCAGGAAAUCAGAAAUAUUCCCAGAGACAUUCCCAGGAAAUCAGGAAUAUUCCCAGAAAAUCAGAAAUAUUCCCAGAAACAUUCCCAGAAAAUCAGAAACAUUCCCAGAAAAUCAGAAAUAUUCCCAGAGACAUUCCCAGGAAAUCAGGAAUAUUCUCAGAGAAUCAGAAAUAUUCCCAGAGAAUCAGAAAGUCCCAGAAAUCAGAAACAUUCCCAGAAAUCAGAAAUAUUCCCAGGAAAUCAGAAAUAUUCCCAGGAAAUCGGGAAUAUUCCCAGAAAUCAGAAACAUUCCCAGAAACAUUCCCAGAAAAUCAGAAAUAUUCCCAGAAACAUUCCCAGGAAAUCAGAAACAUUCCCAGAAAAUCAGAAAUAUUCCCAGAGAAUCAGAAAGUCCCAGAAAUCAGAAAUAUUCCCAGGAAAUCAGAAACAUACCCAGAAAAUCAGAAAUAUUCCCAGAAACAUUCCCAGGAAUCAGAAAUAUUCCCAGAAAUAUUCCCAAAAAAUCAGGAAUAUUCCCAGAGAAUCAGAAAUAGUCCCAGAAAUCAGAAACAUUCUCAGAAAUCAGGAACAUUCCCAGAAAAUCAGAAAUAUUCCCAGAAACAUUCCCAGGACUCAGAAACAUUCCCAGAAAAUCAGAAAUAUUCCCAGAAACAUUCCCAGGAAAUCAGGAACAUUCCCAGGAAUCAGAAAUAUUCCCAGAAACAUUCCCAGGAAAUCAGGAACAUUCCCAGGAAUCAGCGUGGGGCUGACAGAGGCUGUUCCCAACGGGAGGAAAAGCCCGGGAUGUGGAUGUCAUUCCAAAUCCCUGCCGUGUACAGGGACACCUCCCACUGUCCCAGCUUGCUCCAGCCUGGCCUUGGAUACUCUCAGGGAUGGAGCAGCCACAGCUACUCUGGGAAUUCCAGCCCCUGCCCACCCUCCCAGCCAGCAAUUCCCAAUUCCCAAUCUCCCAUCCAGCCCUGCCCUCUGGCACUGGGAAGCCAUUCCCUGGCUCCUGGCCCUCCAUGCCUUGGCCCCAGUCCCUCUGCAGCUCUCCUGGAGCCCCUUUAGGCCCUGCAAGGGGCUCGGAGCUCUCCAUCCUCGGUUGGAUUUGCUUCUCCUGCCAUAA